rnacentral:rRNA from 1 species
AGAGCGAACGCUGGCGGCAGGCCUAACACAUGCAAGUCGAGCGCCCGUAGCAAUACGGGAGCGGCAGACGGGAUAGUAACACGUGGGAACGCGCCCUUCGGUUCGGAAUAACUCAGGGAAACUUGAGCUAAUACCGAAUACGCCCUUACGGGGAAAGAUUUAUUGCCGAAGGAACGGCCCGCGUCCGAUUAGCUAGUUGGUGAGGUAAUGGCUCACCAAGGCUACGAUCGGUAGCUGGUCUGAGAGGAUGACCAGCAUCACUGGGACUGAGACACGGCCCAGACUCCUACGGGAGGCAGCAGUGGGGAAUAUGGACAAUGGGCGCAAGCCUGAUCCAGCCAUGCCGCGUGGAUGAUGAAGGCCUUAGGGUUGUAAAGUCCUUUUAACGGGAAGAUAAUGACGGUACCCGUAGAAUAAGCCCGGCUAACUUCGCGCCAGCAGCCGC